AGUGAACGCUGGCGAUAGGCCUAACACAUGCAAGUCGAACGGCAGCACAGUAAGAGCUUGCUCUUACGGGUGGCGAGUGGCGGACGGGUGAGGAAUACAUCGGAAUCUACUUUUUCGUGGGGGAUAACGUAGGGAAACUUACGCUAAUACCGCAUACGACCUACGGGUGAGAGCAGGGGAUCUUCGGACCUUGCGCGAUUGAAUGAGCCGAUGUCGGAUUAGCUAGUUGGCGGGGUAAAGGCCCACCAAGGCGACGAUCCGUAGCUGGUCUGAGAGGAUGAUCAGCCACACUGGAACUGAGACACGGUCCAGACUCCUACGGGAGGCAGCAGUGGGGAAUAUUGGACAAUGGGCGCAAGCCUGAUCCAGCCAUACCGCGUGGGUGAAGAGGGCCUUCGGGUUGUAAAGCCCUUUUGUUGGGAAAGAAAGGCAGCAGGUUAAUACCCCGCUGUUCUGACGGUACCCAAAGAAUAAGCACCGGCUAACUUCGUG
rnacentral:rRNA from 1 species